AGUGAACGCUGGCGGUAGGCCUAACACAUGCAAGUCGAACGGCAGCACAGUAAGAGCUUGCUCUUACGGGUGGCGAGUGGCGGACGGGUGAGGAAUACAUCGGAAUCUACUUUUUCGUGGGGGAUAACGUAGGGAAACUUACGCUAAUACCGCAUACGACCUACGGGUGAAAGCAGGGGAUCUUCGGACCUUGCGCGAUUGAAUGAGCCGAUGUCGGAUUAGCUAGUUGGCGGGGUAAAGGCCCACCAAGGCGACGAUCCGUAGCUGGUCUGAGAGGAUGAUCCGCCACACUGGAACUGAGACACGGUCCAGACUCCUACGGGAGGCAGCAGUGGGGAAUAUUGGACAAUGGGCGCAAGCCUGAUCCAGCCCUACCGCGUGGGUGAAGAAGGCCUUCGGGUUGUAAAGCCCUUUUGUUGGGAAAGAAAAGCAGCAGGUUAAUACCCCGCUGUUCUGACGGUACCCAAAGGAUAAGCACCGGCUAACUUCGUG
rnacentral:rRNA from 1 species